rnacentral:sRNA from 1 species
UUACUUAAAGCCUGAUAAAGAUAAAAAGUCAAAGUAUAAAACUACAAUUAAAAAGAAAACACUUAAUCCAGAGUACAAUGAGGAGUUUACUUAUGAAAUUCGUCACAAUGAGCUGGCCAAGAAAACACUGGAGAUCACAGUGUGGGACAAAGACAUUGGCAAGACUAAUGACUUCAUUGGUGGAGUUCAGCUUGGCAUCAACUCUAAAGGAGAUAGACUGAGGCACUGGUUUGACACACUGAAGAACCCUGACAGAGAGUACAGGCGCUGGCACGUAUUAAGUGCAGAGCUGACUCCCGAGUUGGAUGAUUGAUGUAACUGAAGGAUGAGAGUGAUAGAACCAGGUGGGGAAUCUACUUAUCAGGGAAUGCAUGGCUGAGAAUUCAUCAACACUACUGGAAGCUGAUUCAUUUUAUGCUGUUUUUUUUAAAUAUUAUUUUACUCUUUUAUUGUUACUAUCUCUCUUUCUCUAAAUACCUUGUCUGUUAGCACAAUAUGUUGACUUGUUAUUACUUCAUAUGUCUAUGUACAUUUUUAUUAAUUCAGUGUAUGGAUUAUUUCUAACUGGGUAUAAUUAGCUGAUGUGAUUGUAUUUUCUUUUCUUGUUCUGUUGAUUUCCAAUAUUUUAAUUCUUUUACUGUUAGAUGGACCUCUUCAAUCCAAGUCUAGAUAGAUGACUUAUUAAAAUGUUAAACCUAUCUUGAACA